rnacentral:rRNA from 1 species
GAUGAGAUUUCCCAUUUCUUUAAGAAAGUAAGAUCCCUGAGAGAUGAUCAGGUAGAUAGGUCAGGAGUGGAAGUACAGUGAUGUAUGGAGCGGACUGAUACUAAUCGAUCGAGGACUUAACCAAUU